CUCUGCGCGGAGCCGAAUUACCGAGUGACGUCUCGGUAAGCGGGGGAACCACACGUUCCUUGGGGCAAAUCCACACGCAAUAGCGGUGGAAGCGCUGGCUCUUUCUGCGCUCGCCCGUCAGCUAACCCCGUAGGCCGACGAAAGAGAGCAG
rnacentral:sRNA from 1 species